rnacentral:hammerhead_ribozyme from 1 species
AUCAACUGUGAGGAGUCCCAAAUAGGAUGAAACGUGCGUCUUAGAU